rnacentral:snRNA from 1 species
GGAUAUGAGGGCGAUCUGGUUGUGAUAUCUGUUCCCAUUGAUUGUCAGGAUUGAUUUGGCUGAUUUGGCUGUCCCCUUCCUCCCUUACUGCUCCAUGUGCAUUCCUCCCAAAGCUGUGUGCUCGGUCAAAGAGGAUGAGCACCUCCAAUAGAGGAGGACCAUUUCCCAGGUCAAUGGUAUAUGAGUAGCUGUACUUCCCUUCUAGAACCUCCAAACAUGCUCUCAAAAGAUCAUCAGAUUCACCAUCAUUUAGUCAAAGGCAUUGGUUUGCUAGACUUUUAUAAAUAGUAAAUUCUCUUGGUGCAUUU